rnacentral:rRNA from 1 species
UUGCCCUACGGGACGCAGCAGUGAGGAAUAUUGGUCAAUGGUCGGGAGACUGAACCAGCCAAGCCGCGUGAGGGAGGAAGGUACAGAGUAUCGUAAACCUCUUUUGUCAGGGAACAAAGACUGGGACGCGUCCCCGGAUGAGUGUACCUGAAGAAAAAGCAUCGGCUAACUACGUGCCAGCAGCCGCGGUAAUACGUAGGGGGCAAGCGUUAUCCGGAUUCAUUGGGCGUAAAGCGCGCGCAGGCGGGCCGCUAAGCGGGACCUCUAAUCUUGGGGCUCAACC